GUGCCACUUUGAGGAAGUAAAAGUCGUAACAAGGUUUCCGUAGGUGAACCUGCGGAAGGAUCAUUAUUGAAACAUUGUAAAGGAAAGUUGAGCUGGCUCUUCAAGAGCAAGUGCUCGCUUUUCUUUCAAUCUUCAUCCACCUGUGCACUUUUUGUAGAGAGUCUUGAGAACGGGGGCCUGUGUCCCUAAGUAUUGAGGCUUUCUAUGUCUUUACAAACUCUUAAUGUAUGUCUUUGAAUGUCUUUUAUAAGGGACUUAAUUGGCCCUUUUAAAAACUAUACAACUUUCAGCAACGGAUCUCUUGGCUCUCGCAUCGAUGAAGAACGCAGCGAAAUGCGAUAAGUAAUGUGAAUUGCAGAAUUCAGUGAAUCAUCGAAUCUUUGAACGCACCUUGCGCCUCUUGGUAUUCCGAGAGGCAUGCCUGUUUGAGCGUCAUUAAAUUCUCAACCUCAAAAGCUUUUGUUUCUGAGGCUUGGAUGUGGAGGUUUUGCUGGCUCUGUUCAGAGUCGGCUCCUCUUAAAUGCAUUAGUGGAAACUGUUUGUGGUCCCACAUUGGUGUGAUAAUUAUCAGCGCUAUUGUGGCUACAAGCUCUUGUAGUGUUCGUUUGGGAAGCUGCAUGAAAUGUGCUCUUUCUGUUUUACUUGACCUGCACUGAGUAUAGUAUCUGCUUCAAACUGUCCUAAGUAAUYUAGACAAUAUUUGACUAUUUUGGCCUCAAAUCAGGUAGGACUACCCGCUGAACUUAAGCAUAUCAAUAAGCGGAGGAAAAGAAACUAACAAGGAUUCCCCUAGUAACUGCGAGUGAAGAGGGAAAAGCUCAAAUUUAAAAUCUGGCAGCUCCGCUGUCCGAGUUGUAAUUUAGAGAAGUGUUACCCGCGCCUGGGACCGUGUACAAGUCUCCUGGGGCGGGGGCGGCGGGCCGGGCGCGGGG
rnacentral:rRNA from 1 species